rnacentral:rRNA from 1 species
AGCAGCCGCGGUAAUACGGAAGGUGCAAGCGUUAAUCGGAAUUACUGGGCGUAAAGCGCGCGUAGGUGGUUUGUUAAGUUGGAUGUGAAAGCCCUGGGCUCAACCUAGGAACUGCAUCCAAAACUAACUCACUAGAGUACGAUAGAGGGAGGUAGAAUUCAUAGUGUAGCGGUGGAAUGCGUAGAUAUUAUGAAGAAUACCAGUGGCGAAGGCGGCCUCCUGGAUCUGUACUGACACUGAGGUGCGAAAGCGUGGGUAGCGAACAGGAUUAGAUACCCUGGUAGUCCACGCCGUAAACGAUGACAACUAGCUGUUGGGAGACAAUGUCUUUCAGUGGCGCAGCUAACGUUUUAAGUUGUCCGCCUGGGGAGUACGGCCGCAAGGCUAAAACUCAAAUGAAUUGACGGGGACCCGCACAAGCGGUGGAGCAUGUGGUUUAAUUCGAUGCAACGCGAAAAACCUUACCUACUCUUGACAUACUUGGAAGCUCUUGUAAUGAGAGUGUGCCUUUUGGAGCCAAGAUACAGGUGCUGCAUGGCUGUCGUCAGCUCGUGUCGUGAGAUGUUCCGUUAAGUCGGAUAACGAGCGCAACCCUUACCCUUAUUUGCCAGCGAUUCGGUCGGGAACUAUAAGGGGACUGCCGGUGAUAAACCGGAGGAAGGUGAGGACGACGUCAAGUCAUCAUGGCCCUUACGAGUAGGGCUACACACGUGCUACAAUGGGGAAUACAGACGGACGCUAAGCCGCGAGGUGGUGCUAAUCCUAGAAAAUUCUUCGUAGUCCGGAUUGGAGUCUGCAACUCGACUCCAUGAAGUCGGAAUCGCUAGUAAUCGCGAAUCAGCAUGUCGCGGUGAAUACGUUCUCGGGUCUUGUACACACCGCCCGUCACACCAUGGAAGUGGAUUGCACCAGAAGUAGAUAGUCUAACCUUCGGGAGGGCGUUUACCACGGUGUGCUUCAUGACUGGGGUGAAGUCGUAACAAGGUAGCCG